rnacentral:lncRNA from 1 species
GUUCAUUCAAGGUCAAGUUCAUGGGGAAUCCAGUCACUGCUGUGUCACUGUUUGUCCUUAGGAGUGAGCAGAGAUUGUGUGGACUCUGAAUUUUUUCUGUGUAUAGGUCAUAAGAGAAAGGUUAGCCAAGGAAGCGUCAUUGAGUUAUCUGAACCAGUAUGUGAACAGGAGUAAAAGACAAUGGAUUUGGAAAGAUAAGAGCAAAGAAGAGGGCAGGUGACUGCCAAACCCAGGAAAACUUCAGAGAUGAAAGUCUAGGAAGUGCUUGCUUCUGCAGCACACAUCCUAAAAAAGUCUAGGAAAAGAGGAUAAGGCAAGACAACACCAACAUGAUUUUCCUCACGUAUAGGACAAUGAACAGGACCUCACAGGUUUAUGGAGCGUAAGGGGGAGGAAAAGAGGGAAAAUGAGCAUGUUGACUCAUUAUUUUGAAUGCACCUGCACAGGCAAUUUCCAGUAUCCUUAGCAAAAUUAGUGUUGAAACACAUACAUUUCUCUGUAGUUAGAGAAGGCACAGGCCAGGCUGUACCUCCCUUUGUGGUUUCUGUGGCUACAUCCUAUACUCCCUCUGCACCUUGA